AGCUUGUCCUUGUUGCUGUUUAAUGGCUCACAAUGUUUUGUGUCUGUGUUUGUUUAUUAGGAAAGAAUGAGUCAAAAGUCUUGUGUAACUCACCUCAGAACAUCAGCACAAAAUACACACUGACUCACUGACCCUUCAUUGUUAUCCAGCACUCUCUUUCAUUUCCUUUCCAACCAUCACCUUUGCUCUGGUGUUACUCUGUGACUUUAAACGAACAAUAGGAGGAACCACACAGGCAAAGGUUCUCCAAAACAAGCCUCUGACCUUUUCUCUUACUAAACUGGAGAGGGUCGAGAAGGCCAGUGGACAGCAGGAAGAGCAGGUUCCUGUUCAGACUGACUCCUACAUGCAGACCCUUUAAAUCAGAGAAGAGAGGAGGUCAUCGUCUGUUUUUGAAAGCAGUCUUCCAUGUUUCCCUUCUAUUCGGUUCCCAGUCAUAGUGGCUCUGCACAGGGUGUUGGUCGACCUCGAGGACCAGACCCACAGCUGCAGACACCGUAACCCUAGAUCCGUCUGGAGGCACCAGUCACCCAAUCCACAAUCCAUCCAUCUCUCUCAUUCCCUCGCGUUCACCCUCCGACUCUCUGACAGGCUGUGACCUGCAUCCAUCCCACGCAGCACUCCUCUCCCCCGGGUCACCAUCCACCCCCCUCCUGGCCAUCUUCUACCUUAAGACAGCAGAAAUCUCGGAUCUGCAC